CGGCUAACUACGUGCCAGCAGCCGCGGUAAUACGUANGGUGCGAGCGUUAAUCGGAAUUACUGGGCGUAAAGGGUGCGCGGGCGGUCUUGCAAGUCAAAUGUGAGGGCCCCGGGCUUAACCUGGGAAUUGCGUGUGAAACUACAAGGCUAGAGUGCAGCUGAGGGGAGUGGAAUUCCAUGUGUCCCACUGAAAUGCGUACAAAUGUGGAAGAACACCGAUGGCGAAGGCAGCUCCCUGGGUUGACACUGACGCUCAUGCCCCAAAGCGUGGGGAGCCAACUAGUCCACGCCAUAAGGANGUCGAUUAGUAUUCGGAUAUAUNCAAGGAUUUUGUGACGGAGNUAACGGGGGAANCUGACCGNGUGGCGAUGACGGUCGCAAGUUUUCGACUUAUAGGGAUNGANGGGGACCAGCACAAGCGGUGGAUUACCUUGAAUAAUUCGAUGCAACGCGAAAAACNUUACCUACCCGNGACAUGAUUGGAAUAUAAUGGAGACAUAAGAGUACCCGAACGGGAGCCCCGACACAGGUGAUGCAUGGCUGUCGUCAGUUCGACUCGNGAGAUGUUGGGUUAAGUCCCGCAACGAGCGCAACCCUUGUCAUUAAUUGGUAUCAUUUUCAAUGAGCACUUUUGUGAGACUUCCGGUGAC
rnacentral:rRNA from 1 species